rnacentral:rRNA from 1 species
AUUGAGCGCUGGCGGCAUGCUUUACACAUGCAAGUCGAACGGUAACAGGGUGCUUGCACCGCUGACGAGUGGCGAACGGGUGAGUAAUGCGUCGGAACGUGCCGAGUAGUGGGGGAUGACGCAGCGAAAGUUGUGCUAAUACCGCAUACGUACUGAGGUAGAAAGUGGGGGACCUUCGGGCCUCACGCUAUUCGAGCGGCCGACGUCUGAUUAGCUAGUAGGUGAGGUAAAGGCUCACCUAGGCGACGAUCAGUAGCGGGUCUGAGAGGAUGAUCCGCCACACUGGGACUGAGACACGGCCCAGACUCCUACGGGAGGCAGCAGUGGGGAAUUUUGGACAAUGGGCGAAAGCCUGAUCCAGCCAUGCCGCGUGUCUGAAGAAGACCUUCGGGUUGUAAAGGACUUUUGUCGGGGAGGAAAUCCCCAGCGUUAAUACCGCUGGGGGAUGACAGUACCUGAAGAAUAAGCACCGGCUAACUACGUGCCAGCAGCCGCAGUAACAC